rnacentral:rRNA from 1 species
AGCGAACGCUGGCGGCAGGCCUAACACAUGCAAGUCGAACGACCCUAUCGGGGUUAGUGGCGGACGGGUGAGUAACACGUGGGAACGUGCCUUUAGGUUCGGAAUAACUCAGGGAAACUUGUGCUAAUACCGAAUGUGCCCUUCGGGGGAAAGAUUUAUCGCCUUUAGAGCGGCCCGCGUCUGAUUAGCUAGUUGGUUGAGGUAAUGGCUCACCAAGGCGACGAUCAGUAGCUGGUAUGAGAGGAUGAUCAGCCACAUUGGGACUGAGACACGGCCCAAACUCCUACGGGAUGCAGGAGUGGGGAAUCUUGCGCAACGGGGGAAAGCCUGACGGAGUCAGGCCGCGUAAAUGAUGAUGUUCUGAGGAUUAUAAAAUUCUUUCACCGGGGACGAUAAUGACGGUACCCAGAGAAGAAGCCCCGGCUAACUUCGUG